CUUCUGUAGCAAUCAUUUAUACCAGGUUAUUUAAAUUAACCUGGUAUAAAUGAUUGCUACAGAAGAC